ensembl:lncRNA novel transcript
GUAUUUUGCGCUGUUCCCUGGUCCUGGCUUUUGAGAAAAGAGCCAGCAGCCUCUGGUCUUGUUGACACCAUCAUCUGAGAGUGGCAGGCCACCAGAGGGAAGGGCUAAGGACAGAGCCAGAUCUGGCUGGGCCAUCUCACCUUCUGGAGGCCGAACUUGACCCGGGAUGGAAAUAAUGAAGCAGCCACUGGCUUUCCCAAGGCCUGUGAUCCUCCUGGUCACCAGAAAUCCCAAGUUCUUAUCUCCUGCUCUUCCAGUCUCCUCUGUUAGGGUACUGGUUCCCAGCGCAGAGCUUCUGUGAUUACCAGAAGAACACUGAAGGAGUCUUCUUGUCUGUCUGGAGCCAGCUGAGAUGGCCCUGAGAUCCACAGAGCCUCCUCCACGCCCCUGGAUGGAGGCGCUCCUGCUCUUCCACCCUUUGUAUCUCUCACUUGGCACCCAUUCCCGUAAUUAAUCACAAACUCCGUCUGAGCUAUUCCUUUCUAAGCCAUGCCCUCUGUACUCUGACUUGCCCCAAAUAGACAGAUGCUCAAUAAAUAUUUGCUGAUUGGCUGGAAAGCAAA